UUCAUUUCUGCUGAGCCAUGAGGGGAACUCCAGAUUUUUUUUUUUUUUCCAUCUUUUCAGGUGUGGGUAAAAUGAGGUUCAGGUGAUGAGGAGGUUUCCCUGGUAACAUAAAUGGUGUUCACCUCAGGACACUAGCCCAGGUGUCUGUCCCACUCUGCCAAGUGGGGGUGGAGCAUCUGUGUGAGCCCCUCCCUCCUCACUGCCUGGCUCAGAUUUGGCAAAGCCUCAUGAGUCUGCUCCAACCUCGUGCCCAUUUCAUGGUGUCUUCCUUCAGAUCCACCUGCUCCAUUAUUGGACUCAUCCAGGGCGUCAGACCAGUGCAAUGAAGCUUUGAUGUUGCAGGAGGGUGUUUAAGUGUCUCCCUCCCUCUCUGUCUCUAAGUGCUUCUCCCUUCUGGUGACGCCAAGGAGGAACGGGUGGCCAGGCUCACAGGGGCACGGAGGUGGCAGAACCUGAGCAAGACAUAAGACAAGUGAAUGUGGGACUUCAGAACUGGCUGAAUCAGGCAGCCUAGUGGCCAGGAUGCCAUCUUGGCCAGUGAUCCCUAGGACUCUGGAGCUCAAUUGUCCCCAGACCACCCAUGCUGGCCAGGACUAUAGGAUACAGAAGUAACUGGAAUAGAGAGAGGAUCUGCCCGUGCCCCUGACACCCCCCCCCCCGCCCCCGCCAAGGGCUCCUUGAACCUUAGCACAAUCUUCUCAAGGGAAUCUCUCAAAAAGAUGGUGCUGAAAGUUCUCAAGCAACCUGGUCCCAUCGGGAGCUUGAAAGAGAAAUUAAGGUGAGUCAUAAAAAGAUGUAUUUCUUAUGUACACCUAAAUUUGUGGACUGUGUUUCACAGACACCAGCCCUAUGUAUUGCCAAUAAAUUUCAGAGACUUUCAAAUUUCAUUUUAAAACAAAGCAGUGUUUCAUGUCUCUCCCUACACCUCCUUCCCCCACCAACAGCCACCCGAGUGACCCAGCUUCAAUGUGCAUCAGAUCCUUUUAUUCCCAAAUUUAAAACCCUCAGGGCCUCUGCAUGCCUGUGGGAUUGAGUCUAAAGGUGUGGGUAGGGGAGUUCCCGUCGUGGUGCAGUGGUUAACG